GACGAACGCUGGCGGCGUGCUUAACACAUGCAAGUCGAACGGAAAGGCCCUGCUUUUGUGGGGUGCUCGAGUGGCGAACGGGUGAGUAACACGUGAGUAACCUGCCAUUGACUUUGGGAUAACUUCAGGAAACUGGGGCUAAUACCGGAUAGGGGCUCCUGCUGCAUGGUGGGGGUUGGAAAGUUUCGGCGGUUGGGGAUGGACUCGCGGCUUAUCAGCUUGUUGGUGGGGUAGUGGCUUACCAAGGCUUUGACGGGUAGCCGGCCUGAGAGGGUGACCGGCCACAUUGGGACUGAGAUACGGCCCAGACUCCUACGGGAGGCAGCAGUGGGGAAUAUUGCACAAUGGGCGGAAGCCUGAUGCAGCAACGCCGCGUGCGGGAUGACGGCCUUCGGGUUGUAAACCGCUUUCGCCUGUGACGAGGCGUGAGUGACGGUAAUGGGUAAAGAAGCACCGGCUAACUACGUG
rnacentral:rRNA from 1 species